rnacentral:rRNA from 1 species
CUGCUCAGUAACACGUGGAUAACCUACCCUUGAGACGGGGAUAAACCCGGGAAACUGGGUAUAAUACCCGAUAGAUCUCGACUGCUGGAAUGCAUCGAGCUUGAAAGCUCCGGCGCUCAAGGAUGGGUCUGCGGCCUAUCAGGUAGUAGUGGGUGUAGCGUACCUACUAGCCUACGACGGGUACGGGUUGUGAGAGCAAGAGCCCGGAGAUGGAUUCUGAGACACGAAUCCAGGCCCUACGGGGUGCAGCAGGCGCGAAAACUUUACAAUGCUGGAAACAGCGAUAAGGGGACCUCGAGUGCCAGGUUACAAAUCUGGCUGUCGUGAUGCCUAAAAAGCAUUGCAUAGCAAGGGCCGGGCAAGACCGGUGCCAGCCGCCGCGGUAACACCGGCGGCUCGAGUGGUAACCGUUAUUAUUGGGUCUAAAGGGUCUGUAGCCGGCCGGAUAAGUCUCUUGGGAAAUCUGGCAGCUUAACUGUCAGGCUUUCAGGAGAUACUGUCUGGCUCGAGGCCGGGAGAGGUGAGAGGUACUUCAGGGGUAGGGGUGAAAUCUUGUAAUCCUUGAAGGACCACCAGUGGCGAAGGCGUCUCACCAGAACGGACCUGACGACAAGGGACGAAAGCUAGGGGCACGAACCGGAUUAGAUACCCGGGUAGUCCUAGCC